UAAGUCUGGAAAGAUUAUGAGAUAAAGUUUCCAAAAAUUGAGAAGGAGAAAUGAGAGCAUUCGAAAUAACAUGGGGUGAUAUGCCCAGAGAUAAGUGGAGCCAAGAUUGCAGAAGACAUGCAGAAGCAAAGGCCUCUCUAUGAGCUCCAUAUGUAUGAACAUCUAAUUCGUUCUGAUGAAAUCAAGAGCCAAAAGUGUGUGGAAGUGCUGCAGAAUUUUGUAAGUACUAUCACGUACUGUGCAGUUUCUUUCAAGAUGGCUUGAAAACAGCUCAUAAAUUGAAACAAUAUAUUGAAAAAGUGCCACUGACUUCUACAAUAUAAAAUAGACCCAGGAUGAAGGGAGCUAACUGCAUUCCAAGACAUAAUGAAAUCAUCUCUUUAGCUUGAUCAGAAUGAAGAUUUCCAGAGCUGGCAAGGAAGCUCAUCCUUCUAUCUGCAGUGAGUGUUUCAUGAAUUAAGUUUCUACAUACAGAUGAAACCUGGAUAAAGACCCUGGCCUGCAGGAGCCUCCUGCUCUCAUCCCUUCUGACUGACCUGGAUGCUUCUCCUUAUGUCACACCCCUCCACCACAUUGACAAUUUCCUUCCUAUGGUAGCUUGACAGAAAAAUAAAGUUAAAUAUUCAAACAGAUGCAGAGAAGACAACAGCACUUGGGAAACUGGAAGGAAGACAGAGCAAUGAGAACUGUUUUUAGAACAGAGGAUGUGGAAGUCAACGAGAAGGAAGAAAACCUCAAGCAAAUAUGAGGACAAAAUGAAGACACAACAUAAUUCCUGCACUGAACAGUAAUAUAGACCUAAAAGAUGGGGGCUAGUUACAUACCUCACCUAGACCUAUGAAGAAUGCAGUCCUGCCCUUUGAGAUCCAUCCCAGGCAAAAUUUUCCCAAGGCUCUCUGCCUUUCAACCUUACAUAACUAACUGGAAUGACCCCUGAUACUCUGGUCACCUAUUUACAUCUGAACAUCAUGAGGUCCUUCACAGGGAUCGAUACAACGUGAUUUCUGACCAAAGAUAAAAGGGUAAAAGGGAGCAAUUUGUAAGGUCAAUGAUGUGGAUGCAGUAAAGAGGACCUUAAUGGAGUCCAUUCUUGGUCACCUAACUUGUGUUCACAGAAAUAGAUCAGGCUAUUCUGGCUCUUAUAUUACCAACAAACCAUCAAUGAUCCUCUUGUCCUCACUGAGAGACUUAUUUGGGGAAAAUGACUGUCUAUAAAUCAUUGCACAACCCAAAGUCAUCAAGGAAUCAUAAAGUCAUGAAUAAGCAUCAAAGUGAAGCAAUUUUUCUGAAAACACUAUGUAUUACAAACAAUGCAACGCGAUUCUUUCUCUGAUGAUGGUAGUACAAGUUGGUACAACUAUAUUGGAAAAAAUUUUGGAGUAUCUGCUAAUGUUAACAUAUAGAAGCUUUAUUAAAGAGUCCAUCU